UUAAUAAUACCACUGUGACUAAUUGGUAUUUUGUUUCUUUGAUCUGCAAGUCACUUCUGCUUCAUGCACAAGAUUGCGUUGAUAUACCUUCCAAGACCAAAGAAACCCCAUUAUUCCUUGCAGUGAAAAAUGGUUCUUUGAGCUGUGUACGACUUCUUUUGCGUUAUGGGGCUAACCCCAAAGCCCAGAACCUACGGUGAGUAAUAUUUCUGAAGAAUUCUUGUAUUCAGUGAUUUGAUCGACUUACAGUGACGUGAUUCUUUGGUGUUGAACAGAAAGCAAAGACCAAUAGACGUGGCGACAUCCCAGGACAUGCGGUUCCUUCUCAACUCUGCAAAUGUUGUACCAAGUAAGAUGAUUUUCUGGGAUAUUAAAUAUUUGACUGAGUUCGCAAAUAGAACAUCUCUUGCGUAAAUACAAGCACUUCACUUGUCCUUUUGCGUAUCUCAUGUAAAUAAAAUCACUUCACUUGCCCAUAGUUUUGUGUUUGAUUCUUCAACCAAAGCACAUGUUCUGCUAUAAGAUCACAUUCUGUUAUGUUCUAUUGUUUGAUCUGUUUCAUUACACUGGAAGAAUUUAUUUUUUUGCAAAUAACACUGGAAGGAAUUUUAUUAUUUGAAUUACAUAAAGAUCGGUUAGAUACUUUUGGUUUUACUGAUAAUAAUGCAUAUGAAGCCAACUGCAUUUUCAACUGAAUUUUGCUCCUUUUUAGUGAACCAUGGCUCAAUGGAAAAGAACCAUGCGAUGAAAAAAGAUAGGCACAAAGAGCUUCUGGAUGAUGAUUUCGAUGAUUAUGACAAUGACGAUUAUUAUGAAAGGUAUUUCUUAUAUCUGUACACAAUUACGUGAAAUGUAGAGAAAGUGCUGCUCAUUUGAAGUUAAAAUUAAGAUAUUGCUUUGAAUAUCCCUGCAGCUAUGUUGUGCCAAAGGCGUCAGUAGGUCACCGGGAUUUUCGGGUUAAAAGUAAGGGCCAUAGUGCCCCGAAAGAAGGUCCCAAAUUAUCUCGGGUAAUCUAAGCAUCCUCUAUCUCUGUAUUACCAAGUGACUUUUUUGUUUACAUGAUCUGCUUACAACAUAUUUUAUUUAUAGCAUAAUGAUCAUUGGGAGAAGCAUGACUACACUCGCAAAAUCUUUGUUGGGGGUCUCCCGCUUUCAGUAGACGAUGGUAUAGCUUCAUAAUCCUGAACCAGUUAUGUUCAACACAGUGAACAUGAAUGUACUUCUAACACUUUCUUUGGCAUUCGUUUCUUGCAGCGUACCUUAGCAAAUUCUUCAGUACUGAAUUCGGACCUGUGGAGGAAGCAAUAGUCAUUACCUUAAAAAUAGACGAGAGGAUACAGUCCCGAGGCUUUGGCUUUGUCAAAUUCAAAAGAGAGAAGGACAUGAUUAGUGCAAAGGAAGCUCAUCAUGUCUAUGUGCUUGGGAAGAGAGUGGAGAUAAAGGAUGCUGUUGCUAGACCGUCCCUGCCUGAACUCGAAAGAGCAACUUCCUUCAGGCACCAUGUACGUGAGUCCCCAAGAGUGACUCAUAGUGAGCUGGAGGAUGAACAACCUGAGCAAUAUAACUUUGGGAAACGGCGGCCAAUGCCAGAGAAGCACCUCCCAUCUUGGUUCUUCAUAUUCAGGAGGUGGUUGCCAGGAUUUCUCAUGGAAGCAACCGAACGAUAUGGGGAGAAGUACCCAUUAUGCUCUGUGAAGACUGAUUUCAGAUCAUGUUGCAGAAUGGAGCUUGAUCAUUCUGCCCUUGGCUAUCCUAAGCUAAGUGAUUUCAUGCGCUCCCUCCCUGGCAUCUGCAGGAUGCGUGUAGUCCCUGUAGGAAAUGGCCCUGCAACACAUAUGGUCCUUCUGCCACCGCUCUCAAGGCCAAAGUAUGUACCCUUGCUAGAGCCUUACUCAUUUGAUCAUGAAGAGCUCCCAGAAUCAGUGUCAGAUCAUCAUUCUCCAAGAUCACCACUUACCGCCAAUAUCACUGAGAAUGCUCCUUAUAGCACUAACAGUCCACAUGGUGAUGCAUGCAGCGAGAGCAAUGUCCAGAGCCAGCAUGAUGAUGAGUGCAGCAGAAGCAAUGGCGAAAGCCUGCCGGAUGGUGAUUCCACCUCCAAUGGUAGCUUACUUGAUGAGAUUACUGUGAGCACACCAAAGUCUGAUUUGAUCCAGUCACCUGCAAGAAAGCCUGAUUUGAUUGUGUCUGGAUCUCCUCCAGAAAAAAUCGAACAAGGACCGUUAAUGAAGCCUGAUUUGGUUGAGUCUGCACCUACAAAGAAACUCGAUUUGAUCGAGUCCAGUCCUCCUCCUCCUCCUCCUCCUAGCAAGGCUGAUUUGGUUCAGCCUGCUGGGCCUGCACGGAAGAUUCAACUGGUCGAGUCCAGACCUUCUAGGAAUUCUGAACUGAUUGAGCCUGAACCUGCAAGGAAGCUUGAAUUGAAUCAAGCCAGACCAACAACAUGCUUUGUUGAUCGUCCUGUUGAAAGGCCAGCAGUCACUCCAAGCAGCUGCCACAAUGAAAUGAGAUUCUCCUUCUUCCACUCACAGUGGGACAAGUACCUAGUAAGUGCCCCCUUCUUCUGUGUUGCAUUUGCUUGCCACGUUAGUUAGGCUCAGAAUCAUGUCUUAACUAAUACACUUCUUUUCACCUGUACUCCUGUAGACUCCACAUGCCAAGAGUGACUACUGCAUCAUAUGCCGCUCCUGUGAAGCCGCGAUGGAGCUUGUCCCCUGCCUCCAUAAGAUAUGUGUUGCCUGCAUGAUGAGGUGCAAUGUCAGGGCAUGCAUGACCUGUGGCACUGCUGUAAGUGGAGUCAAGUCUGCCCCGGCACUGGACGCAAAAUCCCGACACGUGGUAACAAAAUUUCUCCUCUGUUCUACUUUCACUACAUCUGAAUUCAAUUUUGCCUGAUGAUUAAUUGCUGAACACGCAGGGAGUCAUGGAGUGCGUCUCAGAUCAAAAGUGCCAGUUGAUGGUUGUCUGCAGUGGAGCUGAUGCAGUUGUGAGAUGCUCCCCCUGCAUGCACACCAUAGCUUGCCGAGGCUGCCUCCUGGCCUCGGUGACACUGCUCAAGAAGUGCACUGUUUGUGACUGCAUGAUUGAGCACUUCAAGUUUGGUCCAUAAGGUUUAGCUCCCUAAUACCGAAGACUGAUCUAGUAAUACAUAGAAUAAGGCAGGCAAUCCCACAGACUGAAGGAGACAUUGAUCCCAUCUCCUUCGAUGUUCUGAGCUUGUGGGAUGAUGAGCCUAAAUGGGCCAUGUUUAGAGGAGUGCCCUUUGCAGCUCCCUUAUGUUUUUUUUUUUUUUGCGUAGGAAUGCCUUUUCCUAGAUGCUUGAUGGUCAUGGUUCUGUAAGCUUUGCGACGGGGGGCAUGUCCCCUUCGAUUUUCGGCAAGCUUACAGCAUCGGUACCAUGUGAAGCCCCCCUUUGUUAUCUGUUAUCGUGCUCUUUCACUGAACCUAUGUAUUAGUACUAUCUAAGUAAGAUGGAACCUUUUCAGUUAUAUCUCUUGGUGAGCAGUUCUGGAGUUUGUGAUUUGCAGCUUUCUGAUAUGCCUGGUGCUUGCUUCUCUUUUGUAUGGGUUGGUUGAAUUUAACCGAAAGUUAUCUAUUGUUGGAUGAUCUGCUGUAUGUUGCAUUUCCAGCGUGUAAUUGGCAAGUUGCAGUUGUUUAGCUGAAAUUUGGAGUUACUAUUGUUCUGUUCAAUUCAUGGGUUAAGUUUCACUGCUGCUGGAGCUGCGAUAAUGAUACUUCAGGGUAGAUUCUCUGACUUUCAGUUCUCUCAGAAUUGUUUUGAAUGGUUGAAUAAGUGCAAAGCAUGUGCUAUCUUGGGUCUCAGCCAGCUAAAACUUAUCUUUGCUUGACUGUAUUGCUUACAAUAGAUAAUCUAAGGGUGCAGCAGUAUGUUGUAUUUGAAAUGGAAACUUAUAGUGUGAAGAUGGUUUGAUCUGCAGAACAUUCUUCUGUUUGUUUCCUUGGUUGUUUAGUAAUAGGUCGCGGAUUGCAGGUCGGCCAGUUAGAAAUUGCUUGAAUGGGUCAAGAAGGAAAUAUUUUUGGAUCUACAUUCUUCGGUAGAGAUGUUUGAAUUCGCAUUCUAUCUCCACAAAUAAAUUUGCAGUUCAGAUCUUUGACUACACUAAGUAAAAAGAUUUCUCACCAUACGGUGAACAAGCGGCGAUGGUGUCGGAGGUCAUCCUGAGACAACAACAGCGAGCGCCUCCAUCGAACACCCACUUGCUGCCGUGCCUCAAAGUCCAUUUCUUCUCUUUUGUAUGGGUUGGUUGAAUUCAACCAAACUCAUCUGCUGUUGGAUGAUCUGUUGUAUGUUGCAUUUCCAGCAUGUAAUUAGCAAGUUGCUGUUGUUUAGCUGAAAUUUGGAGUUAUCAUUCUGUUUGGUUCAUGGGUAGUUUCACCAUUGGUCGAUUUGAAUCAUUUGAUGAUAAUCCUUCAGGCUGGAUUCUUUGAUUUUUCACUUCCCUCGGAACCGUUUUGAGUGAUUGAACCAUUUUCAGUUCUGUUUUGACAUGGAAACUUACGAGGUGAAGAUGAUUUGAUCUGCAGAAUAGUCUUCUGUUUGUUUUCUUUUUUUUUCUCGAAUAUGCACGAGUGUGCAUAUCAUAUAUUAAAGAAGAAGGGCAAAAGAAAUGCCUCCACCAUUAGUUACAUGAGUUACAAAAUACUUCACUCCUCACGCCUAGCCCACCUCGCUAACCUACUAAGGAAGGGUGCUACAUCCUCUUUUAGUAGGCCGGCUGACACCCAAAUUUGACCCUCUAGUCUAAUUCUACCAAGAAGCACCUCACAUGACGGCCUUGCUCCGUCGAAUACAAUUGCAUUCCUAUGUUUCCAAAGCUCCCACAAGGUCAGCCCAAGAAUGGUUCGCAAAUCUUUAGUACUGGCUUUGUUGGUCCCAGACUUGUGACACAACCAUGACGUGAGAGAGUCGUGCUCCGAAGGCACCCACUCCGGCUUUCCCAAGGCGUGACAGAUCUCCGCCCAUACCACCCUGGCAAAAACACAUGUAAGCAAGAUGUGAUUGAUCGACUCCUCCUCCUGGUCACAAAAGGGGCAUGCAUCUUGGUGCGGUAGCCCUCGCCGUGCCAGACGAUCCGACGUCCAGCAUCUAUUCAGUAGGGCCAGCCAUAUGAAGAACUUGCAUUGUGAGGGCGCCCUCGAUUUCCAAAUGAGAUCCGCUGCUGGUGCCACUUCUGUCGCCCAAAAUUUUGCCGCAUAGGCCGACCGAACCGUAAACUGCCCAGAAUCCUCCCAAGACCACGAGAACUCGUCUUGCACUCCUGCCGUAGGCUCCCAAGUGAUCACUUCAUUCCAAAGCGAGAGGAACUCCUGCAAAGCCUCCAUAGCUAGGUUCAGGCCCACAUCUUGGGCCCAAGCUCCAUCCGCCAUGGCCUCUCCAACCGUCCGCUUGGAGCGAACCCGCCCCGGGAUCAUGUUGUAUAUCAAAGGAGCGAUCUCCUGGGCCCUUCGGCCAUUCAACCAGCAAUCCUCCCAGAACAAUGCCAAAUGACCAUCCCCUGCGGUACAUUGUGUAGCUGCUUUGAAGAGUAGCAGGGAUUCUUUGGGGACCUUGAUGUUAAACUCCUCCCAAGGCCUGGUAUUGUCCGUCCUCUUAAGCCAUGGCCACCUCGCUUGCAUUGCCACGUUCAACCAGCGCAAGUUGGGUAGGACAAGACCACCAGCCCACUUCGGGGUGCACACUGUCUCCCACGCGACCGCACAGUUUCCACCAUUCGCCUCCUUACUUUUACACCACAAAAAAACCUACAGAUCUUGUUCAUAGCUGCGAUUGUCUUCAUGGGCAGAUCUAAGGCCAUCAUUGCAUGCAAAGGCAUGGCGCAGAGCACGGAUUGCACCAAGGUCAGCCUCCCACUCUUCGGCGUCAAGCCCGCUUUCCACUUGGGCAGCUUGUUGGCCAUCUGGUCCACGAGGUAUUGUAGUUGGGCCGGGGUUUGCUUCCGAAGUGACAAGGGUAGCCCAAGGUAUUUGAUAGGAAACGAUCCCAAAGGGCACCCUAGCAUCGUGCAUACCAUGUUCAUUUCCUCCUCGGUGCAUCUAAUCGGCAGAGCGGCUGAUUUGUGCAUGUUGAUCCGUAAACCUGACGCUUCUCCAAAGACUUCAAAGAUGCACUGGCAAACGGCAAGAUCCAUCGGCAAGGGCUUCACAGAAAGUGCCACAUCGUCCGCGAAAAUGGACAACCUCUUCCUCAUACUUGUCUGUGCUAGAGGCGCAAGGACUCGCCUGUCCACGGCAAGCUCAAACAGUCGCUGCAGGGGCUCCAUCGUUAGAAUGAAUAACAUGGGCGAGAUGGGAUCGCCUUGCCGCAAACCCUUGCAGUUGAAAAUUGUAUCGCCGGGCUCCCCAUUGACCAUGAUCUUGGUAGAUGAAGUAGCAAGGAUGCCACAAAUCCAUGAUCGCCACCGCGGCCCGAAGCCCAAGUGUUGCAUGAUCUCAAGGAGGAAAGACCACCUCACCGAAUCAAAGGCCUUUGAUAUAUCAAGCUUUAGUAGGACCGAAGGGUUUCUUAGCGCAUUAAGUCGACGAGCCGUGCACUGCACCAACAUAAAGUUGGCAUGCAAGGAUCUUCCUUUCACAAAAGCACUUUGAUGGUUGCCAACCAACCUUGGUAAAUCCACCACAAGCCUACACGCCAGAACUUUUUCAAAGAUUUUUAUGGCCCCAUGCACCAGGUUGAUAGGCCUAAAGUCACUAACAUCCAAGGCUCCUUCCUUCUUUGGUAGUAAUGUGACAAGGGUUUUAUUGAUAGCCGUCAUGCCCCUCACGUUCCCGUUGUAGAAGCAACACAAGGCAGCCAUGAAGUCAGCCUUAAUGAUGCUCCAACAAGUAGCAUAAAACCUGCCUGUGAACCCAUCCGGCCCCGGGGCUUUGUCCGGGGGCAUAGCCUUGAUUACUCCUUCCACUUCUUCCAUGGUGAACGGCUGCUCUAGGUGUGAGAGGUCAAGCGUUGGCAGGUUUAAGGCUGCCAAAUUGAUGGUGUGCUCCCUCGGGGUCAACGUACCGAAAGCCGCAUCAUAAUAAGCAUCCACUGCCAAAGCCACCUCCUCCUGCCCCGUGUAGAUUUGGCCAUUAUACUACGCAGCUUGUUUGUUUUCUUUGGUUUAUUAUAAAUCAUGGCGUCUUUCACUACUUCUUUCAGAAUUGGGCCGCGGAUUACUGAUCGGCUUGUUAGAAAUUGCUUGAAUAGAUCAAUAAGGAAAUGUCUUUGGAUCUACAUUCUUUUCUAGGGAUGUUUGAAUUCGCAUCGUAUCUACAUGAAUAAAUCUGUACUACUACUACGCACUAGAUUUCUCACCGUUCAGGCAGCACACGCGCGGCGGUGGCGUCGGGAGUCUGUCCUGAG
rnacentral:lncRNA from 1 species